rnacentral:rRNA from 1 species
AGAGUUUGAUCCUGGCUCAGAAUGAACGCUGGCGGCAUGCCUAACACAUGCAAGUCGAACGAGAUCUUCGGAUCUAGUGGCGCACGGGUGCGUAACGCGUGGGAAUCUGCCCUUGGGUUCGGAAUAACAGCUAGAAAUGGCUGCUAAUACCGGAUGAUGACGUAAGUCCAAAGAUUUAUCGCCCAAGGAUGAGCCCGCGUAGGAUUAGCUAGUUGGUGAGGUAAGAGCUCACCAAGGCGACGAUCCUUAGCUGGUCUGAGAGGAUGAUCAGCCACACUGGGACUGAGACACGGCCCAGACUCCUACGGGAGGCAGCAGUGGGGAAUAUUGGACAAUGGGCGAAAGCCUGAUCCAGCAAUGCCGCGUGAGUGAUGAAGGCCUUAGGGUUGUAAAGCUCUUUUACCCGGGAUGAUAAUGACA